rnacentral:rRNA from 1 species
AUGGAGCAACCCACCGAUCGAUUCGCCAUGGCCACGUUUCUGCUCUUGCUCAUACUUGCCCUCGCCGCCGGCAGCAGCAAGCACGGAGGAGCAGCUGCUGCCGCCGGCGACGCCCGACCUGCCCUUGUCGUCAUGAAGCUGCACGGUCACGACCCCAAGGGCCCCUGCGUGGCCUUCCAGACCCACGACGUCUCCUUAGCCGGCUUCACCAACGGAGGCGGCGACUGGCAGGCUUUCCCAGGCCUCGCCCACCUGUUCCCGACGUCCACGCCCCUCCCGUUCGGCAGCGGCUACGACGACCUCAUCGGCGGCCUCGCCAACCUGCCGGGGGUGCCCCUGGGGCGGCAGGCCAUGGCCGACGCCGCCCGGGUGCUCUCCGCCUACGACCCGUCCGCGGCCGCGGUCGCCGACGUCGAGCCAGUCAAGCGCGCGCUGGCAGCGCUCAAGGUGAUGCUAGUUGAGGCGCAGCGGCUGCAGCCCAUCCACGAGACCGUCGUUCGCGGGUGGGAGAGCGAGUCUCACGUUGCCGCCGAGCACCUGCCCUACAUCGACCACUGGGACACCAUGUCCUACGAGAUCAUCCGCGCCAACCGGACGGGCAAGUGGAACGGGCCCUUCGCCAAGAUGCUGGAGACCCAAGCCAACAUCCGCAGCCAGGAGGAGGCGCUCGCCGUCGUCAGGGUGCUGCUCCGUGCCGACUUCGAGCAGGUGCUCGAGGCUCACGGCACCAAGAUCAACUUCCAGUAA